CAGGCAUGGAAGCAGAAGUGGCGGAAGAAAGGGGAGUGUUUUGGGGGUGGUGGUGCCACAGUCACAACCAAGGAGUCUUGUUUCCUGAACGAGCAGUUCGAUCACUGGGCAGCCCAGUGUCCCCGGCCAGCAAGUGAGGAAGACACAGAUGCUGUUGGGCCUGAGCCACUGGUUCCUUCACCACAACCUGUACCUGAGGUGCCCAGCCUGGACCCCACCGUGCUGCCACUCUACUCCCUGGGGCCCUCAGGGCAGUUGGCAGAGACGCCGGCUGAGGUGUUCCAGGCCCUGGAGCAGCUGGGGCACCAAGCCUUUCGCCCUGGGCAGGAGCGUGCAGUCAUGCGGAUCCUGUCUGGUGCCGGCAAGUCCCUGUGCUACCAGCUCCCAGCGCUGCUCUACAGCCGGCGCAGCCCCUGCCUCACGUUGGUCGUCUCUCCCCUGCUGUCACUCAUGGAUGACCAGGUGUCUGGCCUGCCACCGUGUCUCAAGGCGGCCUGCAUACACUCGGGCAUGACCAGGAAGCAACGGGAAUCUGUCCUGCAGAAGAUUCGGGCAGCCCAGGUACACGUGCUGAUGCUGACACCUGAGGCACUGGUGGGGGCGGGAGGCCUCCCUCCAGCCGCACAGCUGCCUCCAGUUGCUUUUGCCUGCAUUGAUGAGGCCCACUGCCUCUCCCAGUGGUCCCACAACUUCCGGCCCUGCUACCUGCGCGUCUGCAAGGUGA
rnacentral:lncRNA from 1 species